GCCGGGCGCAGUAGCUCGCGCCUGUAAUCCCAGCUCUUUGGGAGGCCGAGAUGGGCGGAUCACCUGAGGUCAGGAGUUUGAGACCAGCCUGACCAACAUGGAGGAACCCCAUCUCUA
rnacentral:SRP_RNA from 1 species